CUCCUGGAUGCCAGCCUCACACGGCCCCAGCCUCUCUCCGAGAACCUACAUGCCACACAGCUGCGAUGUCUACAUGCUCACCAUUUCGAAAGGUGUUUAAUUUGCCUGCUCUCCUCUAGCACCCUGGACAGCAUGGUACUUCUGCCAAAAUGAGAGGCCGUACAUAUAUCAGAACACAGAGUUCAGGUGCUCUCCGCCAAGUGUCUCACUCAGGAACCCAUCUCACUGGGAGCUGCUUUAAAGAAGAGAGUGCAGUUAGCGUCACACUACUGAGUAAAUCACCCCAGGGUCAUGAUGUUACACGAUGGACAUUUGGCAUGAAGAGGUCAGCAGGUGAACAAGGAAGAAGGCCAGCAAGCCAGGUGGGAGGAGAAGAGAGACAGAAGGAGGAGGAGGACACCAGGAGACAUUUGUCAAAUGACUUAGAAUCUUCUCAGCUGACUCAACUGAAUGACAUGUGACCAACGGCAAGGCUAAGGAACAAGACCGAGAUAUUUUUGACCUGAAAAAGAAUGUACUUUGAUUCGGAAACUCGACAUAAUGCAUUGUCUCAGGUCUGUGGAACCAUGUUCAUUCUCAAGCAUCUGGAAACAUCUGUGGACUUCCUGGCACAUCCAAGCCCAGUUUCUCACUUAGCCAAAUCAUUUUUCACUGGAAGCAGUCAAGGUUGUGCAAGGAAAAAGAAACAAUGUGAAAACAGCCAAAAGGUCUGAAAGGGGGGAAUCUAAGCCAUGUAUAAUUUCUAAGGAAAGGCAGACGCGGUCAGGGUCAGCCUGCCUUCCACACUCACAAGAACUCCGGUGAACCAGGGAGCCCUAGGUCAUAGAAGAAAUUACUCAUGCUUCAACGGAGGCUGCAUUUUCUCUUUGCUCUCUCUGCAGGCCCUGGUGACAACCAAUCACACAGAACAGAAGAGACUCUCUCCAAACUGAAGCCCUGCCCAAACUACUUACUGGGGCAAGCCUCAACACUCCUGGGCACCAGCGGUGUGUGGGAGAUAGGAGCAUUGUGUGCUCUAAGUGGUGCCAACACCACUAAGUGCAAGAUGAAACCAACACACAGCUGCACCUUUUGGAGGCAUUCUCCAUUUAAAAAAAAAAAUUAAAAAGAAAGAAAAAAAAAAAAGACAUUUUAAAGUUGGUGCCUGGCAGGACUGAGUGGAAAGUUUAAGGAGAAACAUCAAAACGGCAGAGACUCCCCAAGCCAAGGAUUUCAUUCCUAAUGGGAGCAGCUUGGAAAUGUGUAAAAAACUGCUCGUUACCACUCAAAAUGUAACUCGAAAUACACAGGAAAGAAAGGAUAUAUGCAAAUGGGAACUGAUAUUAAAUCAAGAUGUUAAAUUGUCUAUGGACUUGCUGAAUCCAAGCUUUAUUUCUGUCUGAAACAAUUUUCUCUUGUGACUUCAAAAGAAAAAAAAAAUAGUGGCCACAAAUCAAAGCAACUUCAAUUUUUUUCUUAAACAAACUCUAUAAGCUCGUUCAUACUAUCUACCUGUGACAGCUAAUACCUUGGACUUCAAACUUGCUUAGCUCUGUGAGCUGCAAACCACAUCAGAAGCUGGUGUGCUCUUUGAGCAAGAUAGUUAACACUAAAAAAUAAAAACAAAGUAAAAAAAAAAAAAGAAACUGUGGGUUCGUUAAUUUUGGUACACACUGGUUUCAUCAGUAUUGCUAUUAUGAUGAAAAGCACAGAGACAUGGGUUUCCAUCCUUGUGGUACCACUUCCUGACAGUAAUCUUGGACAAGUUAAUUAACUUGGACCUGAGUUUUUUCAUCUGUAAAAUGGGAGUAAUUUUAUGAGUUAGUCAUGAUUAGUGAACAACAUACCCUCAGUGGACACAGUACUCAGGAUGUAGAAAGCACAAUCGUUAUUAACAAGGGAAUUCUUCAAGAAAUCUUUACUAUGAUUAACAGAUUUAAAAGGUUUUGUUUUUACGUGUAUAAAUGUUUGUCUGUCAGUCAAUAUAUGCAACCACUUGUGUGCCUGGUGCCAAAGGAGGCCAGAAGAGGGCGUUGGAUUCCCCUGGAACUGGAUUUACUGAUGGUUAUAAGCUGCCAUGUGAGUGCCAGGAACUGAAUUCAAGUCCUCUGCAAGAGCAGACAAUGUUCUUAACUACUGAGCAAUCUCUCCAGCCUCAUUAAUAGAUUUUUAAAUAUUCAUUCCUGAUGACAAAAUUUAAGACCAGAACUAUCUACAAUAUUAAGACAUUUUUCUUAGUACUUCUUAAAGGAGGGGGGAAUGCCUGAUGGAGUAGAUAUUAACAUUUUGCCUCUUGCUCUAUAAAUACUUGGUACCUUUAGAAGUCAACUCAAAUAUUAUAUUAUUUUUAGUUUAUCAGACUUUCUCCCAGUAAGGACCAUAAUACUAAUCUGUUUGAAUUAUUUGACUUCAGUUCUCUGAAUAUGAAGGAAAAAACUAA